CUUCUCUGACAAUGAGUUUUAAGAAAAUCAACAGACAAAAAAAGUAUUUGGAAAACGUUUUAGUUGAUGAUUUUAAUUCACCCAGAAAAGCCUUAGAAACUGAAUAAUGUCUAAUUCAUUUCAUUCAGUUUUAAAACUGAAAUAUAUGAAGUACCACAUACAAGGAAUUCGUAAGUCGAGUCAAUGUAUUGACAAUUUUUCAGACGUUGAAUUUCUUGAAGAUAAUUCUGGCGGCUCUGAUGUAGCAAUACAAUAUUGGAGUGAAUUGUGAAACUUAAAGAGAAUAUUGCAAUACAAUGCAAGAGUCUAAUUUCAAUAACACCUAAACAUAUUUUAAUUGCAAAGAAACACAUAACUAGUUUGGACUUCAGUAUCUUCUCUGAAAGGAAAGUAAAACUAGUUGGAUGACAGAGUUUACACACAUUUUUGGAUUGAAAGCCACUAUCCUGCAGUUAUCACACAUAUAAUUUGUGAAGUCGAGACUAUUGUACAAGAUUUUUUGCCAAACAAUUCACCUGUCAGAAUGUUUGGCAUGAGCUGUGAUAUAUAUAUAUAUUGAUGAUGUUGCUGAUAGGCUGUUAAAAGAUGCGGAGUAUCCUACAUACAUACAUACACAGUUUACUGGUCGUCAAAUCCGUUCCCAUUCAUGGAACCUACUUCACAACUAGGAAAGAUAAACUUCUUGACUGAAGUUGCACUCUGAAUCAUGUUUGUGAAUAAAAU